GCACUCGUGGCUCAGUGGUAGUAGCGUCGCACUUGUAAUGCGAAGGUCAUGGGUUCAAUCCCCAUCGGGUGCA
rfam:Aspergillus aculeatus ATCC 16872 unplaced genomic scaffold ASPACscaffold_7, whole genome shotgun sequence.